UUAACUCAAAUUUGUAUGGAGUUGGAACGUUUGCCAACGUUUGCCGCUAGGGGCGCUGUUCCAACUGCAUCCUUUGAGUUA
rnacentral:pre_miRNA from 1 species